rnacentral:lncRNA from 1 species
CCCACCCACCGGUCUCCACGCCUCCUGGAUCUCCGUCGCUGUGGCCGCCGCCGCCGCCAUCUACGCCUUCUAGAUCGAUCUCUUGUCGCGGCGGAUUCUUGAUCAGAUGGUCGGACGGUGGGCACCGUGGAGCCAUCUGUUCCCUGUUAUUUUUCUGAUCCUAUCUGUUGUUGUUUUAUUAUCCUAUCAUUAUUCUUGUCAUUAUUAUCAUCCUUUUUAUUUAUUUCUUUCCUUUCUUAGAUUUUUCCUUUUUUUAUUUCGUGGGCUUUUCUUUUCCUUGUGGUUGCAGGCAUGAGCGAGUGAGAGUGGUGUGAGUAGUGGUGGUGAUUUUUGUUGUUGUUAUAUUAUUAUUAUUUUAGUGAUUCUUUUUCCUCGUUAUUUCAAACGUACCCUCGAUCUCUUACUCCUUCUUGUCAUAUUAUACUAUGAUAUAUGAGGGCAAGAUGGGAAAUUGGAUGACUCGGAAUUGGUGCGGGACGAAAGUGGCGGCUGGUUGUUAGUGGUGAAUGCCCACUUUAGUUAGUGGAGAGCUUUUCUCAGUUUUCUGCAUCUCGACUAAUUUUUUAAUUAAUAAAUAUAUUUUUAGGAAUAAAAAAAUGAUUAGGUCAUCAGCGGCGCGAACACGGGUGCCAGCUGUACGGCAAAAAUGGAUUGAAGGCCAUGUGCGUGGUGUCUGGAACAUGGCGGUGGGGUUAAAUAUAUUGGAAUAGUUUUAGGUCCACUUGAUUGGGGGGU